UAGCAUUUGCAUAUUAGGCCGAUAGUUAGAAAAGUUGUCUUUGAUUUUCACAUUUAAAUAGGGGCUCUUUAUUUGCAAUUCUCGAUUUGUAAUAUGUAUUCCCUUGUGAUUUGAUUAAAUUUUUAAAUUUCCAAUGUGUCAAUAUCUGUUUGUUUGGUGUGCUAGCUAAGAUUUACGUAUUGUUGAAUGAGAUUGUAUUGUUUCCAUUUUCUGCUUGAUGUUUAUUAUGUUCUGGGUAUCACUAUUAGGUAGAAGCCAUUAUCCACCUGCAUUGUUUCUCUAUUUUAAUAAAUUAUUCAUACUACAUUAUUUCUUUAUUUUUACCUUUAUUAAGUCCUGCCUGCACUGAAAUAAUUUUCCAGCUCUGCCCUGCAUGUACAUGAAUCAUUCUCGUUAUAUUUAUUAAUGAAGUUACAUAGUAAUGGUUUGAAGGGGACAGGUGAAUCUUGAAGUAACAUUGUUCCAUGAAAUGCCUCAGUAAAGCAAUAAAAAAUUACGGCAUUGUUUAUUUAGCUUGCUGGUGGAGAAUUCUACAUGGCAUGGCUAAUCAUCAUCAUAUCGUUAAUUGUACUCUGGGUCGCUUCUCUUUGCAAAUUUUUUUGUGGAUCCUUCCAUGACGCCAAAGCUGCAUUCUUAGAUGAUGGUAAUGAAUUAUGUUUGUGCAUAUCUGUGUAAAUACGGAUAUGAUACUUUGUCUUUAAAUAAGUUUUUUCAAGUUUAAUAUGUGUAUUUGUGCUUCCAGGAAGAGUUUUUGGGAGAAACGUCUUACUGGUUAUUGCGCAUCCUGAUGAUGAGUCCAUGUAUGUUUGAAUUCCAAAAUUUUAUGUUUUACUCUGGUUUGCAUUAAUGAUAGAACUUCUCUGCCUGGUGUAUGAAUAUCAAAUACCUACUUUAUUUUAUUAAGUUAUUUAUUUGUUUCUUGGGAUUUGUACUUUGCUGCAGUGGUGAAUUCUCAUUAAAACAUUGAAAUGUUAGUGCCUUAAUAUAUGAAUUAAUUUGCAAAAGACUUGGUAAUUUGAACCUUCAAGAAGAAGUAGUUCUCUAUCAGUGAGACAAGGAAAAAGCAUUCACGUAAUUGACCCCGAUGAAUGGCUUAGUUGCUCUCAUAGUAUGACAAAGCAUGUUUUCUAGGGUUACUUACUAUGUUAAUUUUGUGCUAAAAGAAAGAAAAUAGCUCCUGGCCGAUAUCACGGUGGGCAUUGUUGACAUCAUUUGCAUGGUAUGGAAAAUCAGAAUCUAAAUAGUAAAGAGUCAAAUAUGUUCCAAUUUAGACUAAGAAAUAUCUUGAAAAGAGCUUGUACUGUUCAGAAAAUCAUUCAUUGUAUCGUAGUUUCUUGAGUCACUUAUUGCCCAAUGACAUCAUAUAUAUUGGAUUUAUUUGUAAAACCUUCUGUUGGAUUCUGCAGGUUCUUUACUCCAACCAUUAAUUACCUAACUUUGAGGGGACAUGAUCUUUACAUACUAUGCUUGUCAACUGGUAAUACUGCUGUAAGUUCAUGAAUUUUUCUUCCAUGUAUCCUAGGACUUCUCUUCUCAUCAUAUUAGACACUUUUGUAAUAGGUCUAUAGAAUCGACCUGUAUUGAAAUUUUCAAACUUCAUUGCAUUCAGAAAACCUGAGCGUAUGAUCUUGUUCAUGGAUACUAUCCAGUUAAUCAUCAUAUGACAUAAAAUGAAUAUGUUAAGAUUUGAAAUUUUUUAUGAUGAGAUCUGAUUUGAAAUGACUGGUACUUUCAUAUUGCUUAUCAAGUAAUCUCCAUGGCCUUUCCUGCUGAUCUUUACGGGUAGCGCGUUUAGUGAAAAGCCUAUUGAAUUUAUGGAGGAAGUAGUUGUAAGCUAUAUCUGAGCAUGUGAAUCAUUUGUAAAAUCAAUUGCUUCCUUGAAUGGAGAUCAUCAAAGUUGUCGACUUAACUUCUUUUGAGGUUCAUUAUCUAAAGGUCUCCAUUGAGGUCAAAACAAAAAAUUCUAUUGGAUGCAACAAAGUGUAUUUUAAGGGUUAUCAUCAUCAUCAUCAUCAUCAUAUCAUAUAAGAGAAGAUCAACAUUGUCUAACAACACUUGAUCUGCUAAACUAUAUUUUGUGGGCCAUUACUUUAAGUUGAUUAGGAUAAAUUUCCUGCUGCUGAAAAUAUAUGGAAAUUCAAUUUUUAUUUAUUUUUUAUUAUAUUACUUAUUUCAACUGAGAUCUUGUUUAUUACCUUAAGUGUUUUUUCUUUUUCUUUUUUUCCUUUUCUUUUUCUUGAAGGUGACGCAGAUGGGAUGGGUAGCAUUAGAAAAGAAGAACUCUUUCUGGCCUCCGCAAUACUCAAGGUGAUGUUUUGUAAGCUAGUGGCCUUAGUCUGUAAAAUUUGCACGUUUUCUACUUAUGGUGCUUGGGUUUGAAGGGUCUGCCUUAUUAUUUUUUACUGACUGCUGUCUCCUGUAAAAACUUUACCUAGUAUUGGUUGUUUCUCUCAUUUAUUUUAUUUUGUUUGUACAGAUUCCUCACCAGCAAGUGAAGAUUCUGGACCAUCCAGAUUUGCAGGUUCUUUCUGAAGCAUCACAAAAAUUUGAUUCAUAUUUGUACUUUUCACACUGUAGAUUAUAUGGAGGUACUUAUUUCAUGUGGCUCUUGUGAUUAGGAUGGUUUUGGUAAAGUAUGGGAUUGGAAUCUAAUAGCAGGAUUUGUUGAGGACGAAAUCUGUACCCGUGCUAUUGACUCAGUAAGAACUGGUUUGAGUGAUCCAAAUUACUACUAGCUUUUUCAUCCAUUUGGUUAUUCUAGCCACUUUUAGGCCUUUCAUGUCCUGCUUUCAUAACGGAUUUCUUAUGUUUCUAUCUUGAAAUACUUAAUCUGGCAAUACAUAAUUGCAGUUUAAUUUUUUUCCAGAUCAUUACAUUUGAUCACUAUGGUGUCUCUGGUCACUGUAACCAUCGUGAUGUGGGUCGAGGUGUACAGUAAGUUCUCAUCUGUCAUUGUCUUUUGUCAUGUUUGUGUUUAGCUAGGGAUUGACGUCUCAUUUUUCUGAUUUGCUACUUUAGUACUCAUUUAAGUUCUUGAAGUCUAUUUUUCUGUUCUUUACUUGCUACCUCUUCUCUGUUUUAUGUGGACUUAUGAUCAAUAUGGUUCUAUUGUAUUUUACGUAGUUCAAUUAUGUAGUGGUUCCUAACACCUGAUGCAUAUGAAAUUAUUUGUAAUGGUUGCUGGUAACAUCAAACUAAGAAUUAAUUAGGUUCUUUCUUGUGCAUAAUGCAGAAAGCUGUUGCAUGAUUUUUCAGAAAGACCUCUGGAAGCCUGGGAGCUUGUAAGCCAUUCUUUGUCUCACUCUGUCUACAUUCUGUGUUCAGCUGUUUACAAAUUUGAUGACUGUCAAUAUAGAGUGCAGAAUAUGAAGUUCUCCAUUGGGAGGGGGAAACCUAAACGUGUGACUUCCCGUUUUACAUUUUUUUUUAUAAUUUUAAACCUAAACACGUUACUUCCCAUUUUACAUUUUUUUUUUUUUUUUUAUAAUUUUAAGCUCCUAAACCAUGGUUGUUAUUUUAAUCAUUUUCAGGUGAGUAAGAGCAUAUUCCGCAAGUACAGUGGACCAGUUGAUAUCUGGUUAUCCAAGUUAUUUGCCUUGUUUUUUGAUAGUAGACAUUUACAAUGCUUGCUCAAUGAAGAUCCCAGUAAGACUUAUGCUGCAAUGGCUCAGCACAGAAGCCAAUGGAUUUGGUUUGUAUUCUCGAAAACUUUUAACUUGUAUCUAGAUUACUAACAUAAGCAAGAUUCAUGGUAAAGGUUUCAUGACAUCCUCAUUUUAAAUUUUGGGAGUAGGGUGGUCUUGGUGGGGUGGAAAGAUGGGCUUAGGUGAGGUUAGGGCUGAAAAGAGUUAGAAAGAGUAGUAGACUGAUAACGUUUGUUACUGGUUUGAAAUACAUUGUAAUAUCUUCUCAGUUGUCGAUUCUUAUUGCAGGUUUCGAAAGCUUUUUGUGUCGUUUUCUAGUUAUACUUAUGUCAACACGCUUAAGAGGAUUCACUGAAUAGGUGAUUAUAAGGUUGCAGACCUGUCUAAACAUUGAAGUACCUCCCAGUUGCUACCCACGUUGCUGAAGGUUAUCUUUCAAGAUAAUAAGUUAUAUAAAUCUGGAGAUGGUCCUAAAGUUUGUUCAGUUUGUAUUGAUGUACAUUUGACAGCUUUGACAUGCAUUUCUACACCAUUAUAGUUUAGAAUAGGAUAUGUCGGAUUAGAGAGUGAUUUGAUCUCUAAAGACGAAGCUUUUGUUAUAACUCGACUUCAUUUCUUUAAAUUGAAUUCGUUCUUUCAUAUGCUAUACUCGAUGUAACAUUUGAUCUUUUACUGUACUUAUCCGUUUAGUUUCGCCUGGCGUUACUGUAGGUUACACACCAAGUUACAUUUCAUCUUCAAUUAGCAUGUGAGUUUAUAAAUGGAGACGAGUUCUUCUGUAGAUACUGCUAGUAAGUGCAGAUUUAUAUUUCAUACAAAAGUUUUACUUUAUACAUGCAUAGACCCUUGAUCAGUUUUUCAACCACUCUAUUUUUUAAGAAGUACUAGCAACUUUUGUUUAAAUUAAGUUAAAAACAUUCAUUACAAAAGGUUUUUGCAUCAGUAAAAGUCACUACAGUCUACAGCAAAAGGUCAUUGCUUCAGUGCUCCUCCUUGAGCAUUUUGUUGGAUACUCUAAGCAUUGAUAUUAGAUGUUCAAAUCUGACUUUAAAAAGAGCUUUUGUGAAGAUACUUGCAAUUUGUCUCUAAAUUGCGAUAUUAAAGACUGAUUUCUUCAUUUUUCUCAACCUACCCUCACUUGCAUGAAACUUGAUCUUUAUGUGCUUUCUUUUCCAUGACGAACUGGAUUCUUUGACAUAGUAAUAACAGACUUGUUGUCACAAUAAGUUUCAGUAGCCUUUUCUAGAUUAAAUUCCAAAUCACCAAAAAAAAAAAAAAAAAAAAAAAAAAAAUUGAGCUAAAUAGCUUGAUUUGCAGUUGCUGCUCUUGCUAUAUAUUCUGCUUCGACAGUAGAUUGCUCAACAACAACUUGCUCUCUCGAAUUCCAUGAAAAUAUGCCUGAGCUGAAAGAAAAAUAGUAGCUUGACAAGCUCUUCAUAUCAUCCACACUACCAUCCUAAUCAUUAACAGAAUAGCCUCUCAAACAGCUAUCUACAGAUUUUUGAAACCACACUCCAAAACCAAUAGUUCUUUUUAAGUACCUCAAGACCUGUUUUGCUGUUUUGAAAUGGAUAUAACUUGAAGAAUGCAUGAACCUUGAAACAUGACUCAUAAACAAAGUUGAGUGAUCAUUGGAAUGUUUGGCAAUGGUGCGUUUGAUUGCUAAUUUUUUCCAUGAAAAAUGUGUUUUUCGCUCAAAUUCCUAUUUUUGUUCUGUUUGAUUGAUAUUUUUUUCAUAAAAAACAUUUCCUACUUUUGAUCACAUGACCAUAUUUUCUUCAAAAUUAAGAAAAAUAUUUUUUUUAGGAGGUAGGAAUUUAUUUUCCAAGUAAUUCACUAUCUUUCUCUCUCUCUUUCUCUCAUCUAUCAACUCUCUCUUAUCCACCUACUAAUAAAAAUCAGACAAGUAUAAUAUUUUUUAGGUUGAAAAUUAAAUCAAUCAAACACAUUUAAUUGACAAUUUCCAUGCAAAUAAGUUCUAAGUAAUUGAAUUAUAUAGAAUUUAUUUUCUUUUCAUAUUUACAAUCAAACGCAACCUAAAGUUCGAUGAGUAACCGGUGAUAUAGUUCAAAGUUUAGUGGCAAUUGAAACAUUUAACACAAUCCAAUUAUCUCCGAAUUGAAUUCAAUCCAGAUAUCUCUCAAAAUUGAAGGCAUCUUCGUCCCCAAAUCAAUCCCUCUUCUUCUUUGUUCUUUUCCAAAUCAAUCUCAAACAAUCCAGCCGGGAACAGGGCAGGCUAGCCAUUUUUAUUUGCUAGGAGUAAGGUCCAUGGAGCAAGUAGGAAUGAGGGGUGGCUCAAUUUUUAUCUUCCAAAUGUGUUUCUGUUUAUUCUCUUUAAGUAUUUACAGCUUAUCCGUUUCUCACUUUUUGCUGAUUUUACGUUUUUAUUUCUGCAUACGUUAUGACCGCUUACAAUAAAAUGCAUGGCUUUUCAAGAAACCAGCUGGGUUAUAGUAUUCUUUUUGGGGUUUGGUUAGUGAAAAGCUGCUGACUUAGAAUAGCAUGUGGUAUAUUCUAAAUUUCUUCUGUAAAUUUUUUUUCUUCCUUCUCAAUUUUUUUAUCAAAACUGUAGAAGUGACAGAUUUUUUCUAUUCUCUGAUUGAAUUACCACAAAUCUCCUUGCUUUUAUUUCAUUGUUAUUACUUAUAAUGCGAAUUUUCAUUUUAAUAUUUAGUCAAAGCAGAAAUAAAAGGCCAACAUUUAUGGAUUGAAUAUAACAUUUUGAGAUAUUUAGAAAGCAAGUUCGUAGCCGACGAUACAUGUAGUAAUAAUUGUGUCUAUAUGCAACACUAUCCACCUAAGAACGAGGUUAUUUUUUGGGUCUGGUGGCGUGGGGUCAAUGGCAUUUGCUGCAUAUGAUAUGGACUGAGCUACACAAAUCGUAGGGAUGACCGCACAGACACAUGGGGAUCGGGAAUUUUAAAUUCAAGCGAGACUCACCUCGGCCAUGAGAGCACGGUCAGCCAUUGUGUCAACCUCUAUGAUCGUUUGGCUUAAUUCUUGCAUAUUAGGCCAAUACUUAGAAAAGUUGUCUUUGAUUUUCACAUUUAAAUAGGGGAUGUUUAUUUGCAAUUCUCGAUUUGUAAUAUGUAUUCCCUCAUCAUUUGGUUAAAAUUUUAGAUUUCCAAUGUGUCAGUAUAUCUGUUGUUUGGUGUGCUAGCCAAGAUUUAGUAUUGUUGAAUGAGAUUGUAUUGUUUCCAUUUUCUACUUGAUGUUUAUUGUGUUCUGGGUAUCACUAUUAGGUAGAAGCCAUUAUUCACCUGCAUUGUUUCUCUAUUUUAAUGUAGUAUUCAUACUACAUUAUUUCUUUAUUUUUACCUUUAUUAAGUCCUGC
rnacentral:lncRNA from 1 species